ACUCAAAGGAAUUGACGGGGACCCGCACAAGCAGCGGAGCAUGUGGUUUAAUUCGAAGCAACGCGAAAAACCUUACCAAGGCUUGACAUCGCCUGCAUAGCAUAGAGAUAUGUGAAGUUCUAGCAAUAGAACAGGUAGACAGGUGGUGCAUGGUUGUCGUCAGCUCGUGUCGUGAGAUGUUGGGUUAAGUCCCGCAACGAGCGCAACCCUUAUGAAUAGUUGCCAAUAUUAAGUUAGGAACUCUAUUCAGACUGCCGUGGAUAACACGGAGGAAGGUGGGGAUGACGUCAAAUCAUCACGCCCCUUACGUCUUGGGCUACACACGUGCUACAAUGGCCGACACAAAGAGCAGCAAUACGGUAACGUGGAGCAAAUCUCAUAAAUUCGGUCUCAGUUCAGAUUGUGGGCUGCAACCCGCCCACAUGAAGUAGGAGUUGCUAGUAAUCGCGAAUCAGCACGUCGCGGUGAAUGCGUUCCCGGGUCUUGUACACACCGCCCGU
rnacentral:rRNA from 1 species